ACUCAUUUUUUUUCCCAAUUUCGGCUUCAACAAAGAAAACUGAACGUCACUUUCGGUUUCUUCCCUUGAGUGUCAUCAAUUCAACGUGAAAUUGAGUCGGGGCAAGUACAGGGGUUCAAGAGUGUGUUGAUUUUGGAAUCCAGUUAUUUUGCAGGUUUGGAUUGCAUGGCAUUGAGUAUGAGAGCGAAUCAAUCUAAAGAUUUUUAUACCUUUAGAAAUCAAAUAUUGUAUUAGUAAUCGGUAGUAAGUUAGUUUUAGCCUGUGCGUUUGAGUAUGAGAUACUUGAACGUGGCAGAACACCUUUUUUUUUCCUUUUUUGUUGUUGAAGCUUCCGUUAUUGUAAAAGUCAUUUGUAAUUAAAAAGAGAAAAUUUCCCGUAUUUUCAGUUAAGGAAAAAGUGGGGUGUUACACCA